GAUGAACGCUGGCGGCAUGCCUAAUACAUGCAAGUCGAACGAGAGGAAGGAAAGCUUGCUUUUCUGAAUCUAGUGGCGAACGGGUGAGUAACACGUAGGUAACCUGCCCAUGUGCCCGGGAUAACUUCUGGAAACGGAUGCUAAAACCGGAUAGGUAGCAGACAAGCAUUUGACUGCUAUUAAAGUGGCUAAGGCCAUGAACAUGGAUGGACCUGCGGUGCAUUAGCUAGUUGGUGAGGUAACGGCCCACCAAGGCGACGAUGCAUAGCCGGCCUGAGAGGGCGGACGGCCACAUUGGGACUGAGACACGGCCCAAACUCCUACGGGAGGCAGCAGUAGGGAAUUUUCGUCAAUGGGGGGAACCCUGAACGAGCAAUGCCGCGUGAGUGAGGAAGGUCUUCGGAUCGUAAAGCUCUGUUGUAAGAGAAAAACGACAUUCAUAGGGAAUGAUGAGUGAGUGAUGGUAUCUUACCAGAAAGUCACGGCUAACUACGUGCCAGCCGCCGCAGUAACAC
rnacentral:rRNA from 1 species